GAGGGGGGGGUGAGAGAAAGGACCGCAGUCGCAUUCCUGCUACAGCUGAAAACGAGCCCACCUAGGCUACCUUAAGGCAGCAGAGCUACCGUAAGCUUCUUUCUUUCUUCUUCUUCUUCUUUUUUUUUUUUUUUUUUUUUUAUCUGGCAGAGAUGACUAUCGGUGAAAAGAGAGGGAACUGUAUUUCAUAUCCGCAGUGGCAGCGGCAGCAGCAGUAAGAGCCGCAGCAGCAGAAAAACGGAAUGACAUUGGAAAUUCGGUCUUACUCAGCAGCAGAGGCUCCGUGACAGCUUUAUUGCUUUUCACUAAAACUGCUACAGAAUUAACACACCCAUCUUAAUCACACUGUCUUGAGAAGGAUUCCUCUAGCAAGUCUUCAUCUAUGUAGCAUUAAAAGUCUGCUUGCAACCUUCAACUGGGCAAAAGUGUACCGCAAGGGACAGCAAUGUUUGAACCAAGGAGAAAACUAUUGAUGAACAUUUGAAAGCACCUUGAUUGGUUGAACUCCCUUAGUUCAUCGCUGCAAUCUAUUAAACUGAGUUUGAUCUCUCAAAUUAAAAAUAGGAGCCAAACAAUCAGAUGGAAGAGGGGAAAAAGCUCUUUCGCAUGCUUCUUUGCAUAUAAGAACAAACAGGGACAGACAAAUGCUCACAAUCAAGCAGAAAAACGAGAAUAGACCAUAUGUACAAAGACCUGAGAGCGAUUACAAGAUGUACAGCCAGCGUGCGCAAAUGCGAGGAGUGGAAAUGCGUAUUUGCAUACGCUCAACAAAUUAACCAUUUUUACAGUGUGUGAGAGUAAUCAAAAAUUGAGGUGCUACAUAAAGACAGACAGGUCCUGCCCCAAAAGAUUUAAAAUCUAAUUGCCCACCUCAUCCUGUGCAUCUCCACUCACAAGAAAGCUUCCAAAGUGCAAUGGGAUUUGCUCUUAGAUGAAAGGGUGAAAGAUCAGGGGAACAAACCGAGGUGAAGAAAAUCAAAGCGACAACCGCAGCAAAUGAGAUGCAAAAAUAUGUCAACUUGCAAGUUUGUUUUGGCUGCUGAAGCACUUUCAUUGUAAAUUUUAGAUAUCUGUGCACUUUUUAAUCCACGGAUGAUUCUGAAGGGAUAGGUAGAAAUUAGCUUUAUUAAAGUCUGCUUAAAAUGCUUUAGGUUAGCAUUAUAACACUCCAAAUUGCAAAGCAUAUUAACAGAACAAAAAUAGUUCAGGGCACUGUUUUGUUUUGUUUUUUAAUGCACGGUAGGAAUGCCCGCGUUUUCAGGCCUGCAAUAAACCUGCCAAAUACAUCAGUA